rnacentral:rRNA from 1 species
AAUGAACGUUGGCGGCGUGGAUUAGGCAUGCAAGUCGAACGGACUUGAUCUUCGGAUCAAGUUAGUGGCGCAAGGGUGAGUAAGGCGACGGUAACCAACCCCACGGUUGGGUAUAGCCGCGGGAAACUGCGGGUAAUCCCCAGCGAUGUAAAGAAUCGGCAUCGGCUUUUUAUCAAAGCUCCGGCGCCGUGGGACGGGCCGUCGUGGUAUUAGGUUGUUGGCGGGGUAACGGCCCACCAAGCCUAUGAUGCCUACCGGGCGUGCGAGCGUGGCCCGGCACACUGGGACUGAGACACUGCCCAGACUCCUACGGGAGGCUGCAGUCGAGAAUCUUCGGCAAUGGGCGCAAGCCUGACCGAGCGACGCCGCGUGGAGGACGAAGGCCUUCGGGUUGUAAACUCCUGUCGAGGGGGAGGAAGGGGAAACCUUGACCGAUCCCUGGAGGAAGCACAGGCUGAGUUCGUGCCAGCAGCCGCGGUAAGACGAACCGUGCUAACGUUAUUCGGAAUCACUGGGCUUAAAGCGCGUGUAGGCGGAUGGGAACGUCGGUUUCUGAAAGCCCCCGGCUCAACCGGGGAAG